CUAAACAUAAAAACAAAAAACAAAACAAAAUAAAAUAAAAAACAGGACCAAAUCAAAAUCAAAACAAGAGUGAAGAAUGAUCAGUCGCAUUCUUCUUCUUUUUCUUAAAAUUCCCAAAUUCAAAUUUGUAUCCUUACAAAGCAGCCAAUUCAUCAUGUCUUUAAUUUGUGUAACUACAGUUACAUAUUAUUUGUGUUAUGAUUAUUAGGAUUACACUAAAUUUAAUGCUCUGCUUUCAAAUCAUAUAGGAUUACACUAAAUUAAAAUGUAACAUACCCAAAACAAAAUUAAACCCUCCAUAACCACCAUGAGUUGAAUGAAUGAAUGGGUUACAGUAAUAUACUCAAAUCCCACCAGCCCCUAACUUGAACCUAAAUAAACUAAUCAUGUUUAUAAACAAUUAAAAGCAGACCCCCAAAAAAAUUCAAAACAAGCUGAUAUAUAUAUAAAGAGGAGAUGCAAACUGAAAAUCAUACAUGGUUAUGAGAGUACCAAAUCAGCCCAAUCCUUGUACAAGUGCAGAUACGACCUCUGGAGUUGCAACGGGGAAAUGAGCGGAGGUACGGCCGGCAAAGUUGCGGUGGCCAAAUGGAAAAUGGAGGAGUAAGAGGGAAAUGGGCAAAUUUGGAAAAAUGGGCAAAAUGGGCGAAUUCAAUUGACCAAAUAAGAGAAUCAAUAUAGCAAAUUUAAUAAUCAAGUGGGAAAAUCAAAGAGCAAAUGGGUGAAUUUGAGAGGGAAAGAAAAAUAUGAGAGAGGGAAAAAAUGAGUCGUUGUCGUUGCGAACCAGAGUUUUAAUUAAUAGAACUCAUUCUCGACGGCAAACCCGUCGAUAAUGACCCCGUCGAGAUUGAGUUAUUAUCGACAGCGUUCCUGUCGCCUUUGAUAUAUGUGUCCGUCGCCAAUAAGUUUUCCCUCCACCGUCAAAUUUUCGCACCAAAUUAUUCCUUGGGAAAUGGCAUUAUUGACGGCACCCAUUAGCGACAGCGUCCCCGUCGGUAGUGAGGUCAUUAUCGACGGGAAAUUGGCCAUCGCCAAUGACCCUUUUUAUUGUAGUGAUAAACAAAGAGUUAAGUAAGAACUUAGAUAUAAUUUUUGAAGAUAUGUUGUCGACUAAGUCCAAACGGACGUAACAAGCUGCAAAUCCAAGAGUCGAAUACACAACUAAAUCUAGCUGGACCUAACAAGCACUGGAUCCAAUAUAACUAUACUAAAGCAACAAUAACUAAGCCGAAGAUUGGCAUAACAAGCUACUUAUUGAUGCUAAAGCUAGAAAAGUUGUAAGAACUGGAUAAAACAUGAAAAAAUAAAGUGUUCUGGAGUGGGUGUUGCUAAUUUGAAUCAAAGAAUUCUCUAUUAAAUUAUAGACCCGGUGCAGAAUUGUGGCACUGACUUAGUCGGCCACUUAAAAACAAUUUCCUUAUAUAAAAAUAGGACCACUAAUCCACUUUCUAUUAAUGUUUAACUGUGUGAUCGUGGGUCAUCUUGUUGGAAAAACUCCUCGAAUUAUAAGUGUCUUUGAUAAAUUAAAUAAAUCACGUCAAUAACUAAUGUAAUUCUACCAAAUAAAUUAUAACCAUAUAAAAUAAUAAUAAUAAUAAAAAUAAACCAACCAUGAGACACCAAAUUUUAGGUGAAAAACCCUCUAAUACUAAGAGGCAAAAAUCACAGGAAAAUUCUACUAUAAUCAACCGUGAAUAUAAAUUGUCCUUCCACGUUUUAUAACUAAAAACUUAAAAUAUUAACAAAU
rnacentral:lncRNA from 1 species